CGCUGGCGGCGUGCCUAAUACAUGCAAGUGGAACGCAUGAUUGAUACCGUAGCUUGCUACACCAUUAAUCAUGAGUCGCGAACGGGUGAGUAACGCGUAGGUAACCUGCCUACUAGCGGGGGAUAACUAUUGGAAACGAUAGCUAAUACCGCAUAAGAGUUUUUAACACAUGUUAGAAAUUUAAAAGGAGCAAAUGCUUCACUAGUAGAUGGACCUGCGUUGUAUUAGCUAGUUGGUAAGGUAACGGCUUACCAAGGCGACGAUACAUAGCCGACCUGAGAGGGUGAUCGGCCACACUGGGACUGAGACACGGCCCAGACUCCUACGGGAGGCAGCAGUAGGGAAUCUUCGGCAAUGGGGGGAACCCUGACCGAGCAACGCCGCGUGAGUGAAAAGAAGGUUUUCGGAUCGUAAAGCUCUGUCGUAAGAGAAGAACGUUGAGUAGAGUGGAAAGUUACUCAAGUGACGGUAUCUUACCAGAAAGGGACGGCUAACUACGUGCCAGCAGCAGC
rnacentral:rRNA from 1 species